AGCCACUCACACUCUGCUCCCCGACACUCUGCAACAGAAAAGUCACCACACGGAAAUGCAAUGAAUCGCAGGUGCCAGCAGACCUCCGUUCUCACGGCAGCCUUCGCAUCAUCCAGCAGACGCGUGCUUACCGAGUGAGCACUGUGCGCUUCCAGUCGAGAGGGGGAACCUACGCCUAACUCAAAAGUACCAACACAACACUAACCUAUGCCUAACACUAAAGUAAGAACAGCAACCUACGCCUAACUCUAAAGUAACAACAACAACAACAACAACAAUCUACUCCUAACACUAACAUAACAACAAGAACCCCUACCUAACUCUAAAAUACAAACAACAACCUACUCCUACCACUAAAACUAAACUUAACACUAACAUCAACAACAAGAACGGGGACGGGGACAGAACGGGGCUCAGAGGGGACUGGGGGCCCGCAGAACUCGGCGCCAGAGGAGGACCAGGUGGUAAGCAGUGCCACCCAG
rnacentral:lncRNA from 1 species